GACGAACGCUGGCGGCGUGCUUAACACAUGCAAGUCGAACGGAAAGGCCUGCUUUCCCUUGUGGAUUGCGGGUACUCGAGUGGCGAACGGGUGAGUAACACGUGAGUGAUCUGCCCCCGACUUGGGUAUAAGCCUGGGAAACUGGGUCUAAUUCCCGAUAGGACUGCAGGGUGGUGCCUGUGGUGGAAAACGAUUUUCUAGUGGUUGGGGAUGAGCUCGCGGCCUAUCAGCUUGUUGGUGGGGUAAUGGCCUACCAAGGCGGCGACGGGUAGCCGGCCUGAGAGGGUGGACGGCCGCAUUGGGACUGAGAUACGGCCCAGACUCCGACGGGAGGCAGCAGUGGGGAAUAUUGCACGAUGGGCGGAAGCCUGAGGCAGCGACGCCGCGUGGGGGAUGACGGCCUUCGGGUUGUAAACUCCUUUCGACCGAGAGGAAGCCACCUGGUUGGAAGGGUGGUGACGGUAGUGGUAGAAGAAGCACCGGCUAACUACGUG
rnacentral:rRNA from 1 species